GACGAACGCUGGCGGCGUGCCUAAUACAUGCAAGUUGAGCGCUGAAGGUUGGUACUUGUACCCACUGGAUGAGCAGCGAACGGGUGAGUAACGCGUGGGGAAUCUGCCUUUGAGCGGGGGACAACAUUUGGAAACGAAUGCUAAUACCGCAUAAAAACUUUAAACACAAGUUUUAAGUUUGAAAGAUGCAAUUGCAUCACUCAAAGAUGAUCCCGCGUUGUAUUAGCUAGUUGGUGAGGUAAAGGCUCACCAAGGCGAUGAUACAUAGCCGACCUGAGAGGGUGAUCGGCCACAUUGGGACUGAGACACGGCCCAAACUCCUACGGGAGGCAGCAGUAGGGAAUCUUCGGCAAUGGACGAAAGUCUGACCGAGCAACGCCGCGUGAGUGAAGAAGGUUCUCGGAUCGUAAAACUCGGUUGGUAGAGAAGAACGUUGGUGAGAGUGGAAAGCUCAUCAAGUGACGGUAACUACCCAGAAGGGGACGGCUAACUACGUG
rnacentral:rRNA from 1 species